UUGUAAUUGUUUGACAUGGCUUCUCUGUUUCAGAUGAGGGGUUACCUCAAUUAACCUACUGGUUGAUUGUUGGUCUACCAAUAGCAGCUGUUGGAGUUCUUGCAGCUGGUGUCUACAUGUUGAUAAAACAUAUUGAAGAGAAGAAGCGUAGAAAAGAUUUGGAAGAAAAAGAGAUGGAGUAUAGAGAACAAGGUAAGUGGUCUGUUGUCUUGUUA
rnacentral:lncRNA from 1 species